GACGAACGCUGGCGGCGUGCCUAAUACAUGCAAGUCGAACGCAGUUGCGAACGGGUGAGUAACGCGUAGGUAACUGCCUGGUAGCGGGGGAUAACUAUUGGAAACGAUAGCUGAUACCGCAUACUACCAGAUGGACCUGCGUUGUAUUAGCUAGUUGGUGGGGUAACGGGUCACCAAGGCAACGCUACAUAGCUGACCUGAGAGGGUGAGCGGGCACACUGGGAAUUGGACAAGGCCCAGACUUCCAAGGGAGGCGGCAGGAGGGAAUCUUUGGCAAUGGACGGAAGGCUGACCGACCAACGCCGGGGGAGUGAAGAAGGGUUUCGGAUCGGAAAGCUCUGGUGUAAGAGAAGCGGUAUCUUACCAGAAAGGGACGGCUAACUACGUGCCAGCAGCCGCGGUAAUUC
rnacentral:rRNA from 1 species